UUAAGAAGGAUAGAUAAAAAGUCAGACGUUUGUAACACCCUUUAUGAGGUAACAACAGACACACUCCUCUGGAGUAACUGUGUCUAUCAAACAGAAAAGCAUUUUCUUGUGUGUUGAUGAUAUGGUUUGAAUGUGUCCCCCAAAAUUCAUGUCUUGAAGACUUAAUUCCCAGACUCAUACAGUCAUGGUAUUUGGAGAUGGGAUCUUUGGAAAGUGAUUAGGGUUAGGGGAAGUCAGGAGAAAAGGGUUUCUAUGUUGGCAUCAGUGGCUUUAAAAGAAGGAAGAUCUCACCCAGUACACUUGUUCUGUUUCUUCCACCGUGUUCUGAUGCAGUGGGAGGCUCUCCCUAGAUGCAGCACCAUGCUUUUGGACUUCCUAGCCUCCAGAACCGUGAGCUAAACACACCUCACUUCUUUAUCAGUUACCCAGUCUGUGGUAUUCUGUGAUGGCAACAGAAAACAGGCAAAGUCAACUGUCAAUGGGGGAAUGUUUUGGGGUUUUGCUUUCUUACCCCAUCUACUCUCUGAACAUAAGCUCUUUCUUGUUGGUCAUCCUGCAGAAUAAGUGCAAGAGGACAAACGGGAUGGAGGAGGAGGAAAAGAAAAUAAGACGGUCAAAUAUGACAAUGGUGUGGUUGGACAGGUGGGAUGGGGUGGGCCAAGCCAACCAUGGCAAGUGGUGAUUCUUUGAGUCAGCUACUCCAGAAACCAGAAACAUCUGCACCCUCAGGGAUCCUGUUAGGAAUUCAGAGUCUGGACCUCAGCUCAGUCCUCCCCAUCAGAAUCUGCAUUUGAACAAGACCUCAGACACUUUACAAGCAUGUUGCAGCAGGCCAGGCUCUUAGUGGCCCCCAGCAGUCUGAGCCAGACUUGCUCAGUGUCAUCAGCCUUGGCCCUAUUAAUAGAGAGAACUGGUUUGGUUGCCUAGAGACCUGGAAAUCUGAUUGCUCCAGAUUGACUCCGAGUUUCAGUGUUCUCUUAAUGCUUUAGCCAAAGCCUUGUGAUUCCCAGGCUGCCUCAGUUUCUCUGCGGAGCAUUUCAGUUCUCUGCAGGGAUUGGAUCCUUGCCCUAGACCCCACCUCCCUUGGCUUGGGUCCUGAUUCUCUGUCAAACUCUUGAGCUGCCCCCCUUCCCUUGGAAGGCAGGAUGUGAUUUCCUCCUCCUUCGCAGCUCCUGGCAAGGGGCCUGCUGCCACCGGACUGACUGCUUGGAAGGAGGCCUGAUUCUGAGGGCUCUCCUGGACUUCUGCCCGGACUGUGCUCUGCUGGUGGACUGGACUCAUGCAGAUAUCCCGAUCGCCUGGAUGGAUCCCAGUGGGUCGUGCCUUUCAGCCGCCGCUCACUGGCCUGCCUGGUUGCCUCAGGGGGACGGCCAGCUUCUGCAGACAGGGAUUCCAGAGCCUCUUUCUGUGUGACCUUGAAAUCACAAAGACUGGACUUAGAGCUCUUCAGAAAGAAGACAGUCCAGAAUCCUACAUGGUACAAACAGGCUGAAUGGUUCUGCAUAACUGCUUACUUCUUGGGUUUCUUUUUCCAAAGAAGAGAAAAACUUUCUGUUGCCUGAUUUAUUUCGCCAUAAUAGGCCAUUCUGCAUAGAAGCUCAAUAAUUUCUCUGGUUACAUACAACCACUUCACUUAGACUGUUGGUACUUUACCUCCUGCCAUGCUCCAUUUAUGGUAGUUCAUAAAUUAUACGGAGGGUGGCACAUCUGCUCCUGUGUUUUAAGCCAGCACCAAAUGUCAUGAAGUUCAACCAGGUUGGCUGUCAGCUAGGGAGGCCAAUUUUUAAAUGACUAUUACUCCCCAUUAAUUAGUAAUAAAGCACUCUUUAAGACA